AAAAAAACAAUCGAUCAGUGAGAUAAAAAGCUGAAUUUAGAGAUGAAGACCUGUACCUUACUUGUUGUGUUUUGCCUUCUAACAUUAUUAUUCAUGGAACCUGUGUCCUGUCUUGGGGAGCGCUGUCGUCGUCGAUGCAAUAACAGGCAAUGUAUGAGGGAAUGCCGAGGAAAGGGUUACAUAAGCGGCGCAUGCUCAAGAUCACUACUCUGCCCAAGAAAAAGAAAAUUCAAGUGCAAGUGUUAUGGACGGUUUCGAGGUUGAAAAAAAAAAAUCUUUUAAAAAAGGUUUAUAAAUAAAUAAAGGAUUAAAUCAUAAA